rnacentral:sRNA from 1 species
AAAGCCUGCAAAGUGUGUACUGGCAUCUAGUGACAAUGGCAAAACCAACUUCAGGGCAGUGGUAUAGGCAGAAGAUGAUAUUCCUGAAAGCUCACUCUUCUCACCAAUGCCAUCAGAGGAAAAGGCUGCUUCCCCUCCCAAACCUCUGCUUUCAAAUGCCUCAGCAACUCCAGUUGGGAGAAGGGGCCGUCUGGCCAACCUUGCUGCAACUAUUUGCUCCUGGGAAGAUGAUGUAAAUCACUCAUUUGCAAAACAAAACAGUGUACAAGAACAGCCUGGUACCACUUGUUUAUCCAAAUUUUCCUCUGCAAGUGGAGCAUCUGCUAGGAUCAAUAGCAGCAGUGUUAAGCAGGAAGCUACAUUCUGUUCCCAAAGGGAUGGUGAUGCCUCUUUGAAUAAAGCCCCAUCCUCAACUGCUGAUGAUGCGUCUUUGGUUAAUGCCUCAAUUUCCAGCUCUGUGAAAGCUGCUUCUUCUCCAGUGAAAUCUACUACAUCUAUCACUGAUGCUAAAAGUUGUGAGGGACAAAAUCCUGAGCUACUUCCAAAAACUCCUAUUAGUCCUCUGAAAACGG